rnacentral:rRNA from 1 species
ACGGGAGGCAGCAGUGGGGAAUAUUGGGCAAUGGGCGCAAGCCUGACCCAGCAACGCCGCGUGAAGGAUGAAGGUCUUCGGAUUGUAAACUUCUUUAAUCGGGGAAGAAAAAAAUGACCUACCCGAAGAAUAAGCCCCGGCUAACUACGUGCCAGCAGCCGCGGUAAUACGUAGGUGGCGAGCGUUAUCCGGAUUUACUGGGUGUAAAGGGCGUGUAGGCGGUUCUGCAAGUCAGAAGUGAAAUUCCCGGGCUUAACUCGGGCGCUGCUUCUGAAACUGUAGAACUUGAGUACUGGAGAGGAUAGUGGAAUUCCUAGUGUAGCGGUAAAAUGCGUAGAUAUUAGGAGGAACACCAGUGGCGAAGGCGGCUAUCUGGACAGUAACUGACGCUGAGGCGCGAAAGCGUGGGGAGCAAACAGGAUUAGAUACCCUGGUA